rnacentral:rRNA from 1 species
UACGUAGGGUGCGAGCGUUGUCCGGAAUUAUUGGGCGUAAAGGGCUCGUAGGCGGUCUGUUGCGUCAGGAGUGAAAACUCGGGGCUUAACCCCGAGCCUGCUUCUGAUACGGGCAGACUAGAGGUAUGCAGGGGAGAACGGAAUUCCUGGUGUAGCGGUGAAAUGCGCAGAUAUCAGGAGGAACACCGGUGGCGAAGGCGGAUCUCUGGGCCGAUACUGACGCUGAGGAGCGAAAGCGUGGGGAGCGAACAGG